UCUGUUCGUCCUGAAUUUUGU
rnacentral:piRNA from 1 species